rnacentral:rRNA from 1 species
CGCAUCUGUGCAUGCAGCAUAUCAAUAAGCGGAGGAAAAGAAACUAACAAGGAUUCCCUUAGUAACGGCGAGUGAAGCGGGAAGAGCUCAAAUUUGAAAUCUUCAAGGUUUUACCUUGACGAAUUGUAGUUUAAAGAAGUGUUUUCUGUUGAAGUUUUGGUAAAAGUUCUUUGGAAUAGGACAUCAUAGAGGGUGAGAAUCCCGUAUUUGACCAUUAUUUUCAGCUGUGUGAUACACUUUCAAAGAGUCGGAUUGUUUGGGAAUGCAGUCCAAAAUGGGUGGUAAAUUUCAUCUAAAGCUAAAUAUUGGCGAGAGACCGAUAGCGAACAAGUACCGUGAGGGAAAGAUGAAAAGAACUUUGAAAAGAGAGUUAAACAGUACGUGAAAUUGUCAAAAGGGAAGCGUUUGACACCAGUGUUGUUUUCUCGAAAAUCAAUUAAAAAGAGUUUGAUUUUGUUGUGUAUUGACCUUAACAGCUUGCAUUUCAAUUUUCUUGCUUUUUUUAAUGCACUUUUCGUUUAACAAGUCAACAUCAGUUUCUUUUGUUGUAAAAAGGUCAUUGGAAGGUGGCUUUCUUUUCGGAGAAAGUGUUUAUAGCCUUUGACUCCUGCAAUCGGAGAGACUGAGGUCUGCAGCGUAGAUCCUUCGGGGUUAGAUACAUUUGUGCUAAGUUAUAGCUUUUUAUAGACAACUUGUUGACUAUGAUUAGUCUUGUAGCUUACUCGCUUAUGCUAUUUUACCUACGCUUAGGAUGUUGACACACGCGCGUGCUCGACUCUAUACAUGACUCUGUGCAUAUCAAUAAGCGGAGGAAAAGGCAUAUCAAUACCUACGCUUAGGAUGUUGACACACGCGCGUGCUC